GACGAACGCUGGCGGCUUGCUUAACACAUGCAAGUCGAACGGAAAGGCCCUGCUUUUGUGGGGUGCUCGAGUGGCGAACGGGUGAGUAACACGUGAGUAACCUGCCCUUGACUUUGGGAUAACUUCAGGAAACUGGGGCUAAUACCGGAUAGGAGCUCCUGCUGCAUGGUGGGUGUUGGAAAGUUUCGGCGGUUGGGGAUGGACUCGCGGCUUAUCAGCUUUUUGGUGGGGUAGUGGCUUACCAAGGCUUUGACGGGUAGCCGGCCUGAGAGGGUGACCGGCGACAUUGGGACUGAGAUACGGCCCAGACUGCUACGGGAGGCAGCAGGGGGGAAUAUUGCACAAUGGGCGGAAGCCUGAUGCAGCAACGCCGCGUGCGGGAUGACGGCCUUCGGGUUGUAAACCGCUUUCGCCUGUGACGAAGAGUGAGUGACGGUAAUGGGUAAAGAAGCACCGGCUAACUACGUG
rnacentral:rRNA from 1 species